rnacentral:lncRNA from 1 species
CCGCUGCGUGAAUGGGAGGGGGCGCCGGGGGAGCGGGUCCUCCUCAACUAAGCUCCGGUUGCCAUGGCGACGGAGAGGCCUGCAGGGGCCUGGUCGGGGCUACACAGGCACUGCUUCUGCUCUUCCCCUUGGCCGUCCUGAGGGGACACAGUAGGAGCCAAGGAGGAGUAAAUUGUCACAUCAGAGUGAGAGAACAGAGCAGUAUCCUCCAAGGACCCUCAGUGGCAAGGACCAGAGAAGAAGAAAGGGAUAUGUGCACAGAGGAGGAAGAACAAGGUUGAUGCUGCAUGGAUAUUUUGUUGAUAGACUUCCUUGUGAGCUCAGGAUAAGAAGACACUGGAGUUAAAACAUUGAAGAGAGGUGGAUUUACCCCAAAGAUACAGACGUAGUAAAGAGAAGGGCCAUAUGCACCCCAAUGUUCAUAGCAGCAUUGUCCACAAUAGCUAAAUCGUGGAAGGAACCGAGACGCCCUUCAACAGAUGACUGGAGUAAGAAGUUGUGGUCCAUAUAUACAAUGGAAUAUUACUCAGCUAUCAGAAAGAACGAAUUCUCAACAUUUGCUGCAACAUGGACGGCACUGGAGGAGAUAAUGCUAAGCGAAAUAAGUCAAGCAGAGAAAGACAAUUAUUGUAUGAUUUCUCUCAUCUAUGGAACAUAAGAACUAGGAUGAUCGGUAGGGGAAGAAAGGGAUAAAGAAAGGGGGGGUAAUCAGAAGGGGGAAUGAAACAUGAGAGACUAUGGACUAUGAGAAACAAACUGAGGACUUCAGAGGGGAGGGGGGUGGGGGAAUGGGAUAGACCGGUGAUGGGUAGUAAGGAGGGCACGUAUUGCAUGGUGCACUGGGUGUUAUACACAACUAAUGAAUCAUCGAGCCUUACAUCGGAAACCGGGGAUGUACUGUAUGGUGACUAACAUAAUAUAAUA